GCGAACAGACGAGGAGCUUGCUCCUCUGACGUUAGCGGCGGACGGGUGAGUAACACGUGGAUAACCUACCUAUAAGACUGGGAUAACUUCGGGAAACCGGAGCUAAUACCGGAUAAUAUAUUGAACCGCAUGGUUCAAUAGUGAAAGACGGUUUUGCUGUCACUUAUAGAUGGAUCCGCGCCGCAUUAGCUAGUUGGUAAGGUAACGGCUUACCAAGGCAACGAUGCGUAGCCGACCUGAGAGGGUGAUCGGCCACACUGGAACUGAGACACGGUCCAGACUCCUACGGGAGGCAGCAGUAGGGAAUCUUCCGCAAUGGGCGAAAGCCUGACGGAGCAACGCCGCGUGAGUGAUGAAGGUCUUCGGAUCGUAAAACUCUGUUAUUAGGGAAGAACAAAUGUGUAAGUAACUAUGCACGUCUUGACGGUACCUAAUCAGAAAGCCACGGCUAACUACGUGCCAGCAGCCGCGGUAAUACGUAGGUGGCAAGCGUUAUCCGGAAUUAUUGGGCGUAAAGCGCGCGUAGGCGGUUUUUUAAGUCUGAUGUGAAAGCCCACGGCUCAACCGUGGAGGGUCAUUGGAACUGGAAAACUUGAGUGCAGAAGAGGAAAGUGGAAUUCCAUGUGUAGCGGUGAAAUGCGCAGAGAUAUGGAGGACACCAGUGGCGA
rnacentral:rRNA from 1 species